GGCGGGGUUACCGAGUCUGGUCAAAUCUAUUGGUUUGAGCAAUCAAUAAGGCCAUAGGUCGCUUGAAAUAUGGGUCAAGACCGAUCAAAGGUGCUGGACUUAAGAUCCAGUGGCAAAGGCCUUCGUGGGUUCGAAUCCCAUCCCCGCCA
rnacentral:tRNA from 1 species